rnacentral:SRP_RNA from 1 species
AGAUGGACUAGGUCGGGCAGUUAGGUCCUGCUCUCCACCCGCACUAUGGCCUUUAGCGGGGACCGAACCCCGGAGGCGUCCGGUCAGACCGUGCCGGGCCCCGGAAGCCGACUUCGAAGCCUCGUCCUGCGGGGACAGCGGUCUUCGGCGGGCACUCGCAGGAGUGCCGCAGUCGGAGUUAGCCGAUGGUAAUCCGUCAGGCGCGGAAGCGAGCAGCGGGCCAUUGGACAUCUGUCGCUCGUAGGGUUGCGGGGUGGAGGACGCGACCGGGAUUCCCCGGCACGGAACGCCGGGCAAAUUCGGGCGUCCACAC